UAUCUCUGUAGAGUCUGCAUAUCAAUAAGCGGAGGAAAAGAAACUAACUAGGAUUCCCUCAGUAACGGCGAGUGAAGCGGGAAGAGCUCAAAUUUGAAAUCUUCAAGGUUCUACCUUGACGAAUUGUAGUUUAAAGAAGUGUUUUCUGUUGGAGUUUUGGUAAAAGUUCUUUGGAAUAGGACAUCAUAGAGGGUGAGAAUCCCGUAUUUGACCAUUAUUUCCAGCGCUUGUGAUACACUUUCGAAAGAGUCGGAUUGUUUGGGAAUGCAGUCCAAAAUGGGUGGUAAAUUUCAUCUAAAGCUAAAUACUGGCGAGAGUACCGAUAGCGAACAAGUACCGUGAGGGAAAGAUGAGAAGAACUUUGAAAAGAGAGUUAAACAGUACGUGAAAUUGUCAAAAGGGAAGCGUUUGACACCAGUGUUGUUUUCUCGAAAAUCAAUUAAAAAAGGCAGGAUUUUGUGUUGUAUUGACUUUAUCAGCUUUCUGCACUCUUUUCUUGUCCUUUUUAAUGCACUUUUCGUUUAACAAGUCAACAUCAAUUUCUUUUGUUGUAAAAGGGUCAUUGGAAGGUGGCUUUCUUUUCGGAGAAAGUGUUUAUAGCCUUUGGCCUCUGCAAUCGGAGAGAUUGAGGUCUGCAGCGUAGAUCCUUCGGGGUUAGAUACAUUUGUGCUAAGUUAUAGCCUUUCAUAGACAACUUGUUGACUAUGAUCAGUCAUGUAGCUUACUCGCUUAUGCUAUUUUACCUACGCUUAGGAUGUUGACGAUCAGCUGAGCGCG
rnacentral:rRNA from 1 species